rnacentral:rRNA from 1 species
ACGGUACCAUCAGAAGAAGCACCGGCUAACUACGUGCCAGCAGCCGCGGUAAUACGUAGGGUGCGAGCGUUAAUCGGAAUUACUGGGCGUAAAGCGUGCGCAGGCGGUUAUGUAAGACAGAUGUGAAAUCCCCGGGCUCAACCUGGGAACUGCGUUUGUGACUGCAUAACUAGAGUACGGCAGAGGGAGGUGGAAUUCCGCGUGUAGCAGUGAAAUGCGUAGAGAUGCGGAGGAACACCGAUGGCGAAGGCAGCCUCCUGGGCCAGUACUGACGCUCAUGCACGAAAGCGUGGGGAGCAAACAGGAUUAGAUACCCUGGUAGUCCACGCUGUAAACGAUGACGACUGGGUGUUGCAGGUAUUGACCCCUGCGGUGCCGAAGCCAACGCGUUAAGUCGUCCGCCUGGGAAGUACGGCCGCAAGGACUAAAACUACAAAGGAAUUGACGGGGCCCGCACAAGCGGUGGAGCAUGUGGUUUAAUUCGACGCAACGCGAAGAACCUUACCCGGGCUCGAAAAUGCACGAAGU